UUUCGCCUGAACACUUACCUAAACGAGCGUCCUGAACCUAGGUUCAGGACGCUCGUUUAGGUAGUGUUCAGGCGAAA